GAUGAACGCUGGCGGCGUGCCUAAUACAUGCAAGUCGAGCGAACGGACGAGAAGCUUGCUUCUCUGAUGUUAGCGGCGGACGGGUGAGUAACACGUGGAUAACCUACCUAUAAGACUGGGAUAACUUCGGGAAACCGGAGCUAAUACCGGAUAAUAUUUUGAACCGCAUGGUUCAAAAGUGAAAGACGGUCUUGCUGUCACUUAUAGAUGGAUCCGCGCUGCAUUAGCUAGUUGGUAAGGUAACGGCUUACCAAGGCAACGAUGCAUAGCCGACCUGAGAGGGUGAUCGGCCACACUGGAACUGAGACACGGUCCAGACUCCUACGGGAGGCAGCAGUAGGGAAUCUUCCGCAAUGGGCGAAAGCCUGACGGAGCAACGCCGCGUGAGUGAUGAAGGUCUUCGGAUCGUAAAACUCUGUUAUUAGGGAAGAACAUAUGUGUAAGUAACUGUGCACAUCUUGACGGUACCUAAUCAGAAAACCACGGCUAACUACGU
rnacentral:rRNA from 1 species